CCUACGGGGAGCAGCAGUGGGGAUUAUUGGGCAAUGGGCGCAAGCCUGACCCAGCAACGCCGCGUGAAGGAAGAAGGCUUUCGGGUUGUAAACUUCUUUUAAGAGGGAAGAGCAGAAGACGGUACCUCUUGAAUAAGCCACGGCUAACUACGUGCCAGCAGCCGCGGUAAUACGUAGGUGGCAAGCGUUGUCCGGAUUUAAUGGGUGUAAAGGGAGUGUAGCCGGGCUGACAAGUCAGAUGGGAAAGCCCGUGGCUCAACCACGGAACUGCAUUUGAAACAGUCGGUCUUGAGUAUCGGAGGGGCAGGCGGAAUUCCUAGUGUAGCGGUGAAAUGCGUAGAUAUUAGGAGGAACACCAGUGGCGAAGGCGGCCUGCUGGACGACAACUGACGGUGAGGCGCGAAAGCGUGGGGAGCAAACAGGAUUAGAUACCCCUGUAGUC
rnacentral:rRNA from 1 species